GGUGUGGCCAGCACGUCUUGCCAAGACCCCACCACCCCACCCACCCGCAUCUGUGGCCUUCUGGAACCGAGCUGUGGCCUGGGGUUCCAUGGAGCAGGUGGGGCGCGGAGGAACUGAGCUGUGGCCUGGGGUUCCGUGGAGCAGGUUGAGUAUGGAGGAACUGGGGUUCCGUGGAGCAGGUGGGGCGCAGAGGAACCGAGCUGUGGAAUGGGGUUCCGUGGAGCAGGUUGAGUGUGCCGGUCGUGGACGGGUCGUGGGCGGGACUCCCCAGUGUGUCACCACUGAGGCAUCUUCGCCCUCUUACGUGUCUCUGUUUCUCUCUCUAGAAGUCCAACACCUCCGAGAGGACUCAAAACACAGAGUGACCAGCUCCUAUGUGCAUUUCCUGG
rnacentral:lncRNA from 1 species